GCGAAGUUAGUCUAGUUGGCAUGACAUCAGCUUCCCAAGCUGAAGAUCACGUGUUCAAAUCACGUACUUCGCA
rnacentral:tRNA from 1 species